rnacentral:rRNA from 1 species
CUCGUAGGCGGUUCGGCAAGUCGGAUGUGAAAUCUCCACGCUCAACGUGGAGGGGCCAUUCGAAACUGCCGUGACUUGAGUCCGGUAGGGGAGUGCGGAAUUCCCGGUGUAGCGGUGAAAUGCGCAGAUAUCGGGAGGAACACCAGUGGCGAAGGCGGCACUCUGGGCCGGCACUGACGCUGAGGAGCGAAAGCGUGGGAGCGAACA